rnacentral:rRNA from 1 species
GGGAGGCAGCAGUAAGGAAUUUUGGACAAUGGGGGCAACCCUGAUCCAGCCAUGCCGCGUGCGGGAAGAAGGCCUUCGGGUUGUAAACCGCUUUUGUCGGGGAAGAAAUCCUUCGAGCUAAUACCUCGAGGGGAUGACGGUACCCGAAGAAUAAGCACCGGCUAACUACGUGCCAGCAGCCGCGGUAAUACGUAGGGUGCAAGCGUUAAUCGGAAUUACUGGGCGUAAAGCGUGCGCAGGCGGUUGUGCAAGCCAGAUGUGAAAUCCCCGGGCUUAACCUGGGAACUGCAUUUGUGACUGCACGGCUCGAGUGCGGCAGAGGGGGAUGGAAUUCCGCGUGUAGCAGUGAAAUGCGUAGAUAUGCGGAGGAACGCCGAUGGCGAAGGCAAUCCCCUGGGCCUGCACUGACGCUCAUGCACGAAAGCGUGGGGAGCAAACAGGAUUAGAUACCCCUGUAGUCG